UAAUAAACCUGCCUUGUCUAGGUUGAGCAGCAGGCCCAGCAAAUGUCGUCCGCAGUGGCGACGAAAUGCAAAACAGGUCACCUGGACGGUGCCGAUUUUUGUUCGGUCGAGGAAGGAAGGGUUAGGUCUUGUUGAGGUGAGUUUUAACAGUGAAAUUAGCACUGGGCUGAUUUGGAUCUGUAUUUUGGGCCAUUAUUUCUCGAUUUUCUUUGGUGGAACUUGAUUUUCUAUUCAUAAUAAUCAUACAUAAACAGAUUGCAUAUAAUAUGUAUGGCGGAGACACAAUUCUGGGCCAGUCCACACUUCUGGGCCACUUCCAUAAGAAAAGCAUUGAUUUUAUGGAUUUUAUUGUUGUGACCCACGUGAUUUUAAAUUGAACCAAUUGGUUCAAAGUUUUUUGGUUCAAAGGGGGACAAAAAUUGAACCAAAUCCUUAAUGCAAUGAUUUCAAAUAAAGAACCAAUUGGUUUAAUGAAUAAAUUUUCAAAAUUUUAAAUAUAUUUUAAAUUUAGAUGCAAUUUGCACUUUUCGCACCUAAGGAUGAAUAGACUGAUUAAGUCUUGUAAUUUAAUUGGCUGAAAACACAUAACUUAAUUAGUUCUUACCUGGAUUCGAACCUUGUGAUUUGUGAGCACAUCCUCUACCCUCUGCACCACUCGCGUAACGGUAUAUGUUUUAAAAAUUUGACGUAUAUAUAUCAAAUAGGAAAAAACCGUGGAAGAUGCGCCUGCUUUUAGUGACUAAUCAGCCAUUAUGUGAGAAAACGUCCUGAUUUAACUUAUAUUCUACUCUCAUUGGGCCAGUUGCAACAUUAAAUAUACCUACAAAAACUUAUUAAUAAAGAUUUCCGGGGUUAUGUACCAAUAAAAUUUUCAAAUUUUUAUAAAAGGUUUGUUUUUUGGCAUUUGGUUAUUUGCAAGAAAUUAAAAAAUGAUUGCACACACCAUUUGAUGUUGGCAAAUAAUGAGUUAAUAAACUGAAAAAAAUUGAGAAAUUUUUAAUUUUGUGGUACUGAAACAUAUGAAGUUUUUGGUUCUCUGAAUGAAAACAGCAAUGUAGCAAAAUUAUACAUUCCACCCCAUCAAUACUUAAAAUGUUAUUCUAUAUUGAAACCUAAAAAAUAUGAACCAAAUUCCCUGUUUUCUUGUGCAUAGUGAUUGUUUAAUUAAUGAAAGGAGUUAAAAUUUAAUCGGAUCAUAACAUAAUUUUUAAGAUGUUCAUAUGGAAAAAAUCCAAAGUUUUUAUUCGUUUUUUCCUAAAUAUUAACCAAAAUAUUUACAUUAUUCUGAGUCAAAAAUACAUACGAAUGCUUGAAGUUUUGAUUCUUUGUUGCAAAUUAUUGAACCAAUAGAUACUCUUAAACAAACUUUGCUUCUAUUUUUUAGAAAUAAAGAACCAAAACUCUGUUACAGACAUGAUUUGAUUCUUUAUUUUAAAAAAUUGAACCAAAACUUCUGUAUGUUGCUUCAUUAAAACAAAAAAUGGAACCAACUUGGUUCAUUGAUUUGAUUUUGAACCAAAAUUGGUUCUAUUAAUAGGAUAAUUGCAUCAAUUGGUUCAAAAAAGUGCAAUCUUUGAACCAAAUGACCAAAAUUGAACCAAUUGGUUCAAUUUAAAAUCACGUGGGGCCCCAUCAACAAUGAAAACAAUGCUAUUUAAAUGGAAGUGGCCCAGAAGUGUGGAAUGGCCCAGAAUUGUGUCUCCGCCAUAUGUAAAAUAUUAUCAAAAUGCAAACAGAGAAUGUAUACAUGCAAAUAUAUGUACCAUAACUUUUAGCGCAUUAAAACCUGCCUUGUCUAGGUUGAGCAGCAGGCCCAGCAAAUGUCGUCCGCAGUGGCGUUCAAAUGCAAAACAGGACACCUGGACGGUGCCGAUUUUUGUGCGGUCGAGGAAGGAAGGGUUAGGCCUUGUUGAGGUUGAGCAGCAGGCCAGGUGAAUGCCGUCCGCAGUGGCGAUUAAGAUUCAGUGCAAGUAACCAUGGAUAUGGAGGGAGCUGUCAUAAUCUCCUUGGACUUGAUUGGAUAUCCAUGCUGGAUUCUUGCUCUGCGCGUGCUUCUUCAGCUUGUCCCGGUGCUCGUUACUUGUCCCUUUUGGUCGACCACGGACCUUUGGUUUUAGUGGAAAACCAAUCUUCUGCUGAGAAGUGAUGUUUCUCAAAAACUCUGAUGCUGGAAGAAGAGGCAGCUGCUGCUCACAAGUUUGGUAUUGAAUGGUCCAGCGCAUUGGGAUUUCCACAGCAUCGAUCAUGGGAAGCCCAAUUUCCUUCCUCAGAGCCAUGAUGUGGUAGCAAGGUUGAAUCAAACAGGAGCAGCUCUGGAAAUUUUGCGUAAUUCUUCUUCAUCUCUGAGGUUGCGAUGAAAAGACAUGAGAAGUUGCCCUCCGGACCAGUGAUGAUUGUGUAUGAUCCUAAUUACAAACAUAAUAUGCAAUGGCAAUCUAUUGGCAUGAUAUGGUUCAGGACUUGGGGUCUAAAGGAUUGAGAAAGCCUGGUGUCAGAUAAGUGAAACAUAACAAGUUGAUAAAUGUGUACUUUGUGAGCUCCUAUUUUUUCAGAUUCCGGAUGGUGGAUCUCCAUUGGCAAAAAAAUAAGCUGGUAUGCGAAUGUCAUAAAUAAUAUUCAAACCCUCUGAAACGAGAACUAAAGGUGCAUGGAGACAAGAUAAUACCUAAUGAAAUCAAAAUGUGCUGUCAUCGAGAGUUCACUACUUGAGAGACUCGAUUUUAAUCAUAUAACCAUCUUUAGAAUAUUUACAUGUGAAAGUAUACCAUUUUAUAAUCAAUAGAAAAUUUUGUAGCCAGAUUUUUAUGUGUUAUAUUGAUAUAUUACUUCUCAUUGUCCAGAUCCUUGGGUAGGACUGCUUUCCCCGUCUCCUUCAUGAUAACCUCUCUUAUCUUGGUUGGAUUCACUCCAAGGUCGUCAAGCUGCUGCAGACGCUCCUUCUCUGUGUUGUUCAAUCUACGCUGCUUAGGGUAUUGUGCAAAAUCAGCCGGACAUGGUUUGUGCACCUUUUCAUGUACGUCUGUGGUCACGUGACAGUCGUAGAUGUAUAGCAUUUCAUUACGAGUGCCCACCUUGAAAUAGGCACCACAGCCAAGUUUGUAGGAUCUGAAAAAUUAUUGUUCCUUAUAACAAUGUAGCUAAUGAUAUGCAAUAUUGAAAGAAAAAAUUUGGAUAAUAUGUAUUGCAUACAAAAAUCAAAAUAAUAUGUGCUUAGCAUUAAGGAUAUGUGAAGUUUUUGUAUUAAUGUAUUACAAAUAAUCACAAUUUUCAAAUUAAGGGCACAUUGUAGUGCAAAUUAUUCUCAUGUUUCCAAUUGCUCAAAAUCCCUCAUAACUGAAUGCACAUGUUGGAAAAUAUGUAAUGUAUAUUUACUUCUGAUUGGGGCGCUGCCCUGUCGAACGACCAUCAACGGGAUCUCCAUAAUGGAUACAUGCAUAUUUGGCAGAUCUAAUGACCAAUUUGUUCUUCUUUGUCUCCAAUUUGGCCCUGGCCGCUGCAUCAACCACCUUGUCAGAGAUUUUUAUGUAGUUGCUGCUUAGGCAUGUAUACACAAUGAAGGUUUCUUGUUCCAAUGCCUUAAUUGCCUCUGAAAGAUCACUAAAACUUUUGAAGGUCUUGCCAUUUGUGAUUGACAGUGUUUGUGCCAUUUUACAAAACCGCUUGAAUCACAGAUCACAUACAGACUAAAGAGCAGGAGCACAAGCAAAGAGUACCCAGAGCUGCAGAUCUAAUUGAAUUUGAGCAGUGUUGAAACAUGUUCUGUUUGCCUGCUGUUCCCCCUCUUACACUCUCAAAGUUCCAUUCCCUGAUUGCAAGUGAAGAUGCAAUAAUAAUACUGUGCUGUCACCUCUUUUUGUUUGGAGAAUGAUGUUUAUGUAUUUGUAGCCAAUCUAGCUGCCGCAGAUUCACAAAAAAGUUAUUGUAAAAAAUUGUAUUAAUAAAACACUGAUUGUGUUUUCCCAUCGA